GAUGAACGCUGGCGGCGUGCCUAAUACAUGCAAGUCGAGCGAACAGACGAGGAGCUUGCUCCUCUGACGUUAGCGGCGGACGGGUGAGUAACACGUGGAUAACCUACCUAUAAGACUGGGAUAACUUCGGGAAACCGGAGCUAAUACCGGAUAAUAUAUUGAACCGCAUGGUUCAAUAGUGAAAGACGGUUUUGCUGUCACUUAUAGAUGGAUCCGCGCCGCAUUAGCUAGUUGGUAAGGUAACGGCUUACCAAGGCAACGAUGCGUAGCCGACCUGAGAGGGUGAUCGCCCACACUGGAACUGAGACACGGUCCAGACUCCUACGGGAGGAAGCAGUAGGGAAUCUUCCGCAAUGGGCGAAAGCUUGACGGAGCAACGCCGCGUGAGUGAUGAAGGUCUUCGGAUCGUAAAACCCUGUUAUUAGGGAGGAACAAAUGUGUAAGUAACUAUGCACGUCUUGACGGUACCUAAUCAGAAAGCCACGGCUAACUACGUG
rnacentral:rRNA from 1 species